rnacentral:lncRNA from 1 species
UAAAUUAGGAGGGGACUAGUAGAGUCCGCUGGGGAGGUAUUAGUAUUCGUAUUAUCAGCCAUGAAUAAUGAACAAACUUAACAACACAGAAAUAAUUUCAAUGAAUAGACCACAAUCAAACUAGUACUGGCAUGCAACAUAUACAACACUUAGAACAGAGAAAGUGUUACCCUCUUCUUCGCGACCGGAUAAGAACGGCCUUCAACCACCGGAUGAAACUAAGCACGGUCACCGGAAAUUGCAGAUAAACAGAAACUCACCAGAAUCAGGUCACAAACGUCGGAAACUUACCCAAAAUGUCUAUCGACCGAAGGUAAAAUCAUCGGAUAACAUUAAAACCCUUGGUCCAAAAGUCGGAAAACCCUAGAUUUUGAAGAACUCACUGGAAUAAGACCAGAGAUGUCGGAAAAUCACUCAAAAUAUCUACUGAUACAUGAUCGGAGCCUCAAACAGUCAGAAAAGUCCCGAUUAUCCGAUUAACAUUCAUCGAAAAAUAUACGAACAGUAUUUUUCUCAGAUAACCGAAGAAAAUCAGCAAGUAUCGACAACACAUAACAGAGAAGGAUCGGAAGAUUUUCCGGCUCUGAUAGCAUGAAAACAUGAAGAUUAAGCUGAAGAACGCGAAGAAUAUAGUGAGAAAAGAAGAGAGAGAAAGAGGGUAGUUGAGAGAACUCUCCAGAAGUUCGAGAGAGUGUCUUAGAAAAAUG